rnacentral:lncRNA from 1 species
GCUUCCUAGAGGGGGCUGCAGCUGCUGGAUAGAAGUGCCAUGCGAUCAGAGCAAAGCCAGAGGGGUUGUCUGAUUGUGCCGUUGCUGCUUUCAGAAUCAGACUUUUCCUAAAGACGAUUGGAAAGUUAUUGGAACUCUGCCCCAACCCCUGUUCCCUCUCAACUUUGCUUUGGAAAAUCUGGAGAUUCUUUCCCCACAGAGAGACUGUAGGAGAUUUUUUUUUUUUUUUAAGUUAGUGGGUUUAUUUCUGCUGGAUUUCUUCUUCCUUUUGCCGAGUUGCUUUCCUGUAGCUGUUGUGCUUGGUGGAUGAGGAAGCAGCGUGCAUAUUUGAGAGCUGUGCAGAAAGGCUGACAAGAGUUCGUCUGGAGGAUUGGCUGUUGGACAAGCUGAGCCAGAAAACCUCGCUUCAAGUUCUCACACUUUCAAAAACAAGACCUUUAAAAAACCCAAAGACUGUAGUAUCUGCAAACAAGCCAUUGACAGCCAAGGCAUUUCCUGCAGAGUUUGCAAGUAUGCCUGCCACAAGAAAUGUGAAGCAAAGGUGGUGAAACCCUGCUUCCUGCCAAUCAACUACGAACUGGUAAGUGAAUCUGACAGUACUGAUGUCAAUCAGGGGAAGAGUGCAGUUAAAGGACCAGCAGAAGUA